rnacentral:rRNA from 1 species
AUGGCGGUAAAGAAAUAUCUAUUCCGCUUUGAAUCAUUCGCGAUAAAGGAUGGCUCUGAGAUAUGUUUCUGGGAGGACACGUGGCUAGGAAACACCACUCUUCAAGAACAGUGUCCAGCCUUGUAUCGCAUUGUACGCGAUAAGAAUGAUACUCUUGCGCAUGUGCUCAGUUCCUCCCCGCUGAACGUAUCAUUUAGGAGGGAUUUGAUUGGCCUCCGUCUUGCGUCAUGGCAACAUCUUCUAUCCCGUUUGGAUACGAUAAACUUGACACAAGGGCGGGAUGUGUUUUGUUGGAAUCUCACUGCAUCAGGAUCCUUCAGAAUUGACUCUAUGUACCGUGCACUCUCGCAUUCAGAGAUUUCCGUGAAUAAUAAUAAACUAAUAUGCAAUUCAAAGAUGCCACUGAAUUAA